rnacentral:sRNA from 1 species
GCGAGACGCGUGGUCCGGCGGCGAGAAGUGACCGAUAAACUGGUCGAGGACCACACCGGGCGCAGCUCCCGGUCGUCCACAAAUGAUCAGCCAGCAGCCGCUGCAACCACAGGGAG